GCUGGGACGCAACACAAUAUAGAUAAUGAAUAACAAUAUUUACCUCUAUUAACAGGUGUGUAGGCGGAGCUAAAGACUCACCUGCAGACAGCAGAAAGACUUCCUGCUACACUCUCCGUGUUCUCAAGUGAGAGAGAAUGUUUCAUGCAGAACCUGUACCAGUAGCAGUACUAUUUCCUGGACUCUUCAACAUAAAUUGACUGUCUCUGGCAGCGGAUACAAGGUCCGCAAGCCACGCCCACCCCCCACAGCCACAGAAGAGGAAAACUGUCCUUUCCCGGGCA